UACAGAGGGUGCAAACGUUGCUCGGAAUCAUUGGGCGUAAAGCGCGCGUAGGCGGCCCGGUAAGUCCGCUGUGAAAGUCAAAGGCUCAACCUUUGAAUGUCAGCGGAUACUGCCAGGCUAGAGUCCGGAAGAGGCGAGUGGAACUCCUGGUGUAGCGGUGGAAUGCGCAGAUAUCAGGAAGAACACCAACGGCGAAGGCAGCUCGCUGGGACGGAACUGACGCUGAGGCGCGAAAGCGUGGGGAGCGAACAGG
rnacentral:rRNA from 1 species